CCUACGGGAGGCAGCAGUGAGGAAUUUUCUGCAAUGGGCGAAAGCCUGACAGAGCAAUACCGCGUGAGGGAUGAAGGCCUAUGGGUUGUAAACCUCUUUUCUCAAGGAGGAAGAUCUGACGUUACUUGAGGAAUAAGCAUCGGCUAACCCUGUGCCAGCAGCCGCGGUAAUACAGGGGAUGCAAGUGUUAUCCGGAAUUAUUGGGCGUAAAGCGUCUGCAGGUUGAUAUUUAAGUCUUUUGUUAAAUCUUUGGGCUUAACCCGAAAUCGGCAAAAGAAACUAUUUAUCCUGAGUAUGGUAGAGGUAAAGGGAAUUUCAAGUGGAGCGGUGAAAUGCGUAGAUAUUUGAAAGAACACCAACAGCGAAGGCACUUUACUGGGCCAGUACUGACACUCAGAGACGAAAGCUAGGGGAGCAAACAGGAUUAGAUACCCUGGUAGUCCUAGCUGUAAACGAUGGAUACUAGAUGUUGCGUGCUUCAAAGCAGCGAGUGUCGUAGCUACGUACGUUAGUAUCCGUCCGUCGGUAGUAGUGCUCGCGAGGGUAGGAACGUACGAAAGGAAGUUAGUACGGCGUGAGACGUCGCCGACGGACGACCGACGAGGGAGGUUAGG
rnacentral:rRNA from 1 species